CCUACGGGUGGCAGCAGUGGGGAAUAUUGCACAAUGGGGGAAACCCUGAUGCAGCGACGCCGCGUGAGGGAAGAAGGAAUUCGUUACGUAAAGCUCUAUCAUCAGGGAGGAAAAUGACGGUACCUGAGUAAUAAGCCCCGGCUAACUACGUGCCAGCAGCCGCGGUAAUACGUAGGGGGCAAGCGUUAUCCGGAUUUACUGGGUGUAAAGGGGGCGUAGACGGUUCGCAAAGUCUGGAGGGAAAUGCCGCAGCGGAACUGUGUAACUGCUUUGGAAACUGGCGAACUAGAGUGCGGGAGGGGUAAGCGGAAUUCCUAGUGUAGCGGUGAAAUGCGUAGAUAUUAGGAGGAACACCGGUGGCGAAGGCGGCUUACUGGACCGUAACUGACGUUGAGGCUCGAAAGCGUGGGGAGCAAACAGGAUUAGAUACCCGAGUAGUC
rnacentral:rRNA from 1 species